UCUCUCUCUCUCUCUCUCUCUCUCUCUCUCUCUCAAAAAACAAUGAGGGAAAUCAGAAACAGAGAGGGAAACGGAUGCCGCGCCGAAAACAUUCGGCCGGCGUCCUUCCAUCCCAGACUCGACAAACGUAGCUUUUGCGCCGUCACGGUGUUUACGAUUAAUUUAAUAUUCCCGUCUGGAGUUGUUCUGCAGUUGUCUGGAGUUCCCGCCCUCCCCCGCCUCGGCGGUGCUGGGGAGCGUCAGGGAGCCCAAGGUCUCCCUGGCGAGCGUCGCGGGGCUCAGGGGUUCCGGCAGGGCGUCUCGGCUCCCUCGGGGCGUCCAUGGCGGUGCCGUAGAUCCCGAGUGUCCAGGGGCGGGGGGAGGGGAGGGCGUUUGGUGUUGUGUGUUGGUAUGGGCGGGUCUUUUCUGGGGUGAAGGAGAUUCAUUCGUAUCAGCACACGGCACCAAGGAAAGGCGAUUUCAGAACAACUCCACGACAGGGAUAUUACAGGUGAAAAACACCGAAAACAAGGAAAAUACACCAGAAGAACAUCAGAAACUGGACAAUCCAGGAGAGGAAUUCCAGGAAAUAGACAAGAUAGAAGCACAGAUGAGAAAAAGGAAAAAAUAAAACAAAAACACAAAAAUCCAGCAAGAAGGCCUUUGGUGUGGUAUAUUGGUAUGGCUGAGCCUUCUUUGGGGUGAAGGAGACUCCGCUGUAGCAAGAUACGGCACCAGGUAGAGGCGAUGUAGAUACUCUACACAACACUGUCACACGACAAAUAAAGAAAAAUAACACCGGAGACAGGAUAAUACAGAAAAGGAAUGCCAGAAAAAAGAAAUCAGAUACAAAACACAACAUUAGCAAAACGAACAACUAGGAUUAAGGACUUUGGUGUGGUAUGUUGGUACGGGCGAGGCUUCUCAGGGGUGAAGGAGACUCGUCUGUAGCAGGAUACGGCACCAAGAAAAGCCGAUAUACAGUAGAAACAACACCAGAAAAAGGAAAAUGAAGAAAGAGAAAACCAGCACAAGGAAAAUACAGAAAAAAGAACACCAGAAAAAGAAUUGCUGACCCUGACUUAACUGUCGGGGUGGGAUGCUGACCCUGACUUAAUUGUCGGGGUGGGAUGCUGACCCCAGCUUGAAUGUUGGGGUGGGAUGCUGACCCUGACUUAACUGUCGGGGUGGGAUGCUGACCCCAGCUUGAAUGUUGGGGUGGGAUGCUGACCCUGACUUAACUGUCGGGGUGGGAUGCUGACCCUGACGUAAAUGUCGGGGUGGGAUGCUGACCCUGACGUAGAUGUCGGGGUGGGAUGCUGACCCUGACGUAAAUGUCGGGGUGGGAUACUGACCUUUAAAGGAAGGAAAAUUAGUUGUUGCGAUGUCUUAUUUUAUCGACAAAGGAAUCGACGUUUUGGAAACAAAGAAAGGAAAAUAUGGUUUUGAGUUCGUUUAGUUUUAUCGACAAAGGAAUCGACGUUUUGGAAACAAAGAAAGGAAAAUAUGGUUUUGAGUUCGUUUAGUUUUAUCGACAAAGGAAUCGACGUUUUGGAAACAAAGAAAGGAAAAUAUGUUUUUGAGUUGGUUUAGUUUUAUCGACAAAGGAAUCAACAUUUUGGAAACAAAGAAAGGAAAAUAUGUUUUUGAGUUGGUUUAGUUU